rnacentral:misc_RNA from 1 species
AUAAAAAAAUCAUGACAAUGAAAUUAAGAUAAUUAAUUCCUUUAUUUGUUAUUUUUUAAAAGGAUAUAUCUAAAUUUCUUCUAAAAAUUUGUAAAAUAUUUACCAUAUGUACUAAAUGUACAAGUUAAGUAUACAAGUAUAAAAUAAUGUUGUUUAUAUAGAAUGUUAUCUACUUACAUUUUCUAUUUCUUUUAAUGGUGAUGUACAGAAUUGUUAUAUGAAGUUUCAUUCCGUGAUAAUUUCAGUCUGUGAUAACAGGUUAUUGUUUUCCUUUCUUUGUAUUUAUCAGUCAACAAAUUAUUUUAACACAUUGAUAAUAUUUUUUAUUUUACUUUAAAUUCAUGCAACUUGUACAUAGCUUAUAUGUACAUAUAUAUAUAUUUAGUUUUAACUCGGUGCUUAGAUGUUCAUUUCAUAUACCUAUAGUUUGAACUUUUUAAUGUACCUUAAAAAAUUGAAUUUUGUAUACAUGUAUUUUAAUUCCUUCUUUACAAUUUAUCUUUGUUUUAUGAUCACUUCAAGGGGCUGGUCCUCUUCUUAAAUAUAUUUGUUAACAGUUGAUUAUAACAAUAAACUGGUAUAUAUAUUCACACUAU